rnacentral:rRNA from 1 species
GGAUUGCGAAUGGGCGAAGCCUGACGCAGCGACNCCGCGUGGGGGAUGAAGGCCUUCGGGUUGUAAACCCCUUUCAGCAGGGACGAAGCGAGAGUGACGGUACCUGCAGAAGAAGCGCCGGCUAACUACGUGCCAGCAGCCGCGGUAACACGUAGGGCGCAAGCGUUGUCCGGAAUUAUUGGGCGUAAAGAGCUCGUAGGCGGUCUGUUGCGUCCGCUGUGAAAUCUCGGGGCUUAACCCCGAGCCUGCAGUGGAUACGGGCAGACUAGAGGUAGGUAGGGGAGAAUGGAAUUCCCGGUGUAGCGGUGAAAUGCGCAGAUAUCGGGAGGAACACCGGUGGCGAAGGCGGUUCUCUGGGCCUUACCUGACGCUGAGGAGCGAAAGCGUGGGGAGCGAACAGGAUUAGAUACCCUGGUAGUCCACGCCGUAAACGUUGGGCGCUAGGUGUGGGAUCCUUCCACGGAUUCCGUGCCGCAGCUAACGCAUUAAGCGCCCCGCCUGGGGAGUACGGCCGCAAGGCUAAAACUCAAAAGAAUUGACGGA